rnacentral:rRNA from 1 species
AGAGUUUGAUCAUGGCUCAGAACGAACGCUGGCGGCGUGGAUAAGACAUGCAAGUCGGACGAGACUUUUCGUUGUAGCAAUACGAUGGAAAGUCUAGUGGCGAACGGGUGCUUAACACGUGGGCAACCUGCCAGGAAGUGGGGGACAGCUCGCCGAAAGGCGGAUUAAUACCGCAUGUGAUUAGAGAGGACAUCCUUCCGAAAUUAAAGUCGGGGCAACCUGACGCUUCCUGUGGGGCCCGCGGCCUAUCAGCUAGUUGGUGAGGUAACGGCUCACCAAGGCUUUGACGGGUAGCUGGUCUGAGAGGACGACCAGCCACACUGGGACUGAGACACGGCCCAGACACCUACGGGUGGCAGCAGUCGAGAAUUUUUGACAAUGGGGGAAACCCUGAUCGAGCGACGCCGCGUGGAGGAUGAAGGUCUUCGGAUUGUAAACUCCUGUCAUUGGGGAACAAUGCGCAAAUAUUAACUGUAUUUGUGUUGAUAGUACCCGAAGAGGAAGAGACGGCUAACUCUGUGCCAGCAGCCGCGGUAAUACAGAGGUCUCAAGCGUUGUUCGGAUUCAUUGGGCGUAAAGGGUGCGUAGGCGGCGCGGUAAGUCGGGUGUGAAAUCUCGGAGCUUAACUCCGAAACUGCAUUCGAUACUGCCGUGCUUGAGGACUGGAGAGGAGACUGGAAUUUACGGUGUAGCGGUGAAAUGCGUAGAUAUCGUAAGGAAGACCAGUGGCGAAGGCGGGUCUCUGGACAGUUCCUGACGCUGAGGCACGAAGGUCAGGGGAGCAAACGGGAUUAGAUACCCUAGUAGUCC